UUUUGUAUUCUAUGAUGAGAUUUUUUUUCUGUCCGAUAUUGCUUCUGUCGAAUCUAAAAUUUAGUUCCAGUUUCCUAGAUUUUGAGGGUUGGUUUCAAUGAUGCGUGCUUAUGGGCUUUCUUAGGUGUCUGGGAUGCUGUGCCAGGUAACCUGAUGCUGGCGUAGGAGCAGCACCUGGGGCUGGAGCUCAAAAUUGCAAAGUUGUGGAUUAUGAGGCAGAGAUUGAUAAUUACAUAGUUGUGAAAUUUAUAUAUAUCCAACUGCAGUCUGCAUUCCUAUUCUGCAUAAACUUCUAUACAAACUCAAUUAAAUAUAUAUAUAUCUAUUACUAUAAGGAGCAAAUGCCGAACUUUGUGGGCCGCUGGAUCUGGCCAAUCGGGGCCAUCCGAUGGGGGGGUAACUGUAAAGGGGUUAUUUCUUUAACCAUGUGUUAGUGAAUAAUCGCGCUGAUGUUUGCUCCUGGCCAAUGGGAGGCGGCCAAGCCGCGUGUGGCGAGAGAGGAAGGCCCGGCAACGCGUGGCACAUGCAAAGUGUUGACUGGAGAUUGCUGUUCCAUGGCAUCACUUUGGGCAGGAUCAAGUCCGUCAUGGCCCUUGAAGCAUGCUGUGGAUCGCAAUUUCUUCCGGUAGGUAAGCAAAUCCACUCCCAAAUUGUUGCUGCUGGCUGGGAUUCGAGCUUGAUUGUGGAUCGCAAUUUCUUCCGGUAGGUAAGCAAAUCCACUCCCAAAUCGUUGCUGCUGGCUGGGAUUCGAGCUUGAUCGUGUCGUGAUCUAGUUUGGUUUUGUUUUGUAUGUUUUUCUAGGGUUUUUGAGACGGUGAGAGAACCCCUGCCGCUACUGCUGAUUUGCGAUCCAAAUCGGAGGCGCUGUGUCAACGCUGGUGUCUUUGCUCCUGAGAACCCCAUUGCAAGUUGUUAUUUGUGAGGAGUUCCAUCAAAGCAAGGAAAUGGGAUGAGGCGAUUUAAGCUCUUAAAUGCUUUAAAGCACAUUCACUCAGCACAGCCUUACUCACCUGGACGUGAAGCCUGACAACAUCUACAUCUGCAAUUGCCGCCACGCAACGGGAUGAUCCUCCAUUCGAGCUCGCAGAUCUGAGGCGCCGCACUGCUCCACGAAUUCCCAGGCUGAUCAAUUGGAGCGCGCGCCUCGUAGAUCCCAAUUUGGUGGACGAACAUGGCGCUUGCAGUGAGGUAGAAAAAAUGUAAGUCUUGCGAGAAGACACUGUAUCAGGUAACACACAUCGAUCUGCUCUUUUUUGGCAUCACCCGAUUGCAUCGAAAAGGUUAGUUUUUAUGCCUAUCCAUACCCCUCAGUAAAUAUCUUUUGUUUUCUAUCUGCCCUAAUAAUUGAUCUCCAUUUCCAAAAGAAACUGUUGAAAAUAAUGUCAUGCCUUCAACAUGUACUGAAUGCUAUUCGACACAGACAUACACAUUCCACGUACAAUGAUAAUGUUGAAGACACUAACCAGCACCAGCAUACAUAUAGCUUUUACAACAGUAAUAUUCAAGAGGAUACAGAGAAUUGACAUCAAACAAAUCUUAAUAAUCA